rnacentral:rRNA from 1 species
AAAACAACUCUCGGCAACGGAUAUCUCGGCUCUCGCAUCGAUGAAGAACGUAGCAAACUGCGAUACUUGGUGUGAAUUGCAGAAUCCCGUGAAUCAUCGAGUCUUUGAACGCAAGUUGCGCCCGAAGCCAUUAGGCCGAGGGCACGUCUGCCUGGGCGUCACGA